GAGCUGUGGAUCGGAGUGAAAGGCUAAUCAAGCUCGGAGAUAGCUGGUUCUCCUCGAAAUCUAUUUAGGUAGAGCGUCGUGUCUUACCCUGGGGGGUAGAGCACUGUUUGGGCUAGGGGGUCAUCCCGACUUACCAACCCCAUGCAAACUCCGAAUACCCAGGAGUACAAUCACGGCAGACAGACAGCGGGUGCUAACGUCCGUUGUCAAGAGGGCAACAACCCAGACCGCCAGCUAAGGUCCCAAAUACCAAUUAAGUGGGAAACGAUGUGGGAAGGCUUAGACAGCUAGG
rnacentral:rRNA from 1 species